rnacentral:lncRNA from 1 species
UUCUCUUCAUAUGGCCGGCCAAAGCAAGAACAAAGGAAGAAAAGAAAGAAAAAGAACCCUAGGGUGAAAAUUCAAGAGAAAAUUGGUGGAUUUCAAGUAAUCAAGCAAUCAAAGGUAAAAUUUCUUGAUUUUGAAUUGUGAUCUACCUUUCCCAUGCAUUCUUUUGCAUUUUCCAUGGUUGAAUCACAAGAUAUCAUGAAGGAUUCAUGGCUGACUAAAUUUAGAGAGAGAAGAUUUAAUGAUUUAUUUGGUUAGAUUUUGAGAUAUUUUAGUGUUUGUAGUUGAUUUAUCAUGUUUGGAAGGAAAACAAGUAAGAAAAAUCACAUAUUCUUCAUGGAUUCUUCAUUGGCCGAAUUUCAUAAAGACAAUAUUGAAGAUGAAUAUUGUGAUGUCUUAUGUUAUUUAGUUAGAAUUUAAUGAAUUGUGGUGGUGGAAACCGAAAAUGGUAAUGUUUAGCAUGAAAAACUAUAUAACCCUCAAGAACCUCCAUUGGUUGAAUCUUCCAUGUGGAAUAUUGAGGAUGAUUUUGAUUUUAUUUCAAGUGACUUGGUUAGGAAUUAGUGAUUUAUGGUGUGAGAAUCAAGCUUGAAAAAAAUUAUAGUGUUGAUGCACCCACCAUGGUCGAAUUUUCUAAGAGAAAAUGUGAGGAUGAUUUUGCCAUUUUUCAAGUUAUUUAAUUUGUGUUUGAUGAUUUGGAGUAUUGGGAGAAAAAUGGAAUUAUUUGGAGUUGAAUUGGACGUAUUGGCCAAUUAAUCGGGUGAUAGAUCAAAUUAGGCCAAUACCGUUUUAUUUAGGGACAUAAUUGAAUUUAUAUUGAACACCGUAUUUAGAUAGUUACCUGAGUGUUUCACAUCCCAUUUCAUGCAUUAGUAUAGAGCCUGAAUUGGUUUUAUAACAAUUUAGCACAAAUGUAGUAAAUGGCUUAUUGUGCAUUAUGUCUAGGUGUUGAGCAUUCUAGCAAAAGUAAAGAGAUAGUACCCGAGGAUCAAGAAUCAGAGUACUCGAAAUUCGACUCCCGAAAUAGUGAGUAACCUUACUAUCAUCUUAAUUAUCUAAAGUGGUUUUUAUCCGAUUUUGUGAUUUUAUGGAAAAUGAGUUAAAUGGUAAAUCUUUGUGUUUUGUAAUUAAAAUGUGAUUUAAUGAAAUGAUUUUAUAACAUUGUCUUGAAAUGAAAUGAUGGUUUGAAAAUAGAGUAAUUGGAGACUGUUUUCAUGUGUUGUAAAUUCAUGGUUUGAAUCGAAUGGCUUAUGACAAUAUUUGCAUGAAUGGCUGAAUUGGUAUUUAUAUUGAAAUAUAUGAACUGUGUAUUUAGCCUUGAGAGACUGGAUUGUGAUAUAAUUGCCAUGUCAUGCGGUUGAGAUUUUAUUGAAUUGGUGGGUUCAACUUGCUACGGGGGGCGAGUUCCGUGGACCAACCGAUGAGAGGGGCACGGUAACCCCGUUAUAUUCUUACCUCAGUCGAAGAGGCAUGUAGGGUAACUCUCAAGGUACAACUUUAGAGUUCACUUCACGCCAAACCACCACGUGAGGGUGAACUCAGCCAACGGCAAGGAAUGACUAUGUUUUCAAAAUAAAAACAUGAUUUAUGCGUACAUGACUUUAUAACAGCCUUGACGGACUAGGUUGGGAUAGCCCUAGGCCAAGGUAUCCCUGAUAACCGAGUAUGAGAAUGAUUUUGGCACGAGCCAAAGUUUUAAGAAAUUCAUAAGCCAUGUUGAUUACUCGAUUUAUAUGAAUUGAUUUUAUUUGGUUGAAAUUAGUUGAAAGCUGAUGAAUUACAGUAUGUUGAACUAUUUUAUUUGUCUUCAUUUACUCAGCUUUAGAUAUUUUAGAUGGUAUUUGUUUACUCACUGGGAUUAUAUAAUCUCACCACCCUCCUUUCCACCCAUUUCAGGUUCAAGAUAGUCGGUAGAUAGCUCACUUUGUUGAGGGCUACAGUUGAACUUGCAUCCUUAAAAACUGUAGGUUUACCGCUUUAGAUACUUUUGGUCGUUCGUGGGCCCACGUGUCACUGUAAAUUAAAUUUUAUACUUUGGUUAUCUGUAUUACAGUAUGUAUGAAUUUAUUUAGCUUUUACGCUACAAAAAUUAUUUACCGGUAACUCUAUAAAUAUUGUUUUAUAAGAAAAUAUAAUAUUUUAUUGAAUAUUUUUAUUAUAUUCAAAUA